GUUGGAGCAUAUCUCCUGUCGAAGAACAUCUCUAGACAUUAUGAACCAUAUGACUACUAAAUAAAACCAAAGGCCAUUCAGCCACAGGUCACUGCAUCUUUUGCUGUAUGCUGGAGAAAAAGCAGCCAGGCUAAAGCAUU